rnacentral:miRNA from 1 species
GUUUCGUUGUUUACAAUACAACAUCUAGAUUAAUUGCUCUGAAGAUGUUGUAUUGUAAACAACGAAACG